rnacentral:rRNA from 1 species
UACAGAGGGGGCAAGCGUUGUUCGGAAUUACUGGGCGUAAAGGGCGCGUAGGCGGCCUUCUAAGUCGAACGUGAAAUCCCCGGGCUCAACCCGGGAACUGCGUCCGAUACUGGAGGGCUUGAAUCCGGGAGAGGGAUGUGGAAUUCCUGGUGUAGCGGUGAAAUGCGCAGAUAUCAGGAGGAACACCAAUUGCGAAGGCAGCUCGCUGGGACGUAACUGACGCUGAGACGCGAAAGCGUGGGGAGCAAACAGG